rnacentral:rRNA from 1 species
GACGAACGCUGGCGGCGUGCCUAAUACAUGCAAGUAGAACGCUGAAGAGAGGAGCUUCGCUCUUCUUGGAUGAGUUUGCGAACGGGUGAGUAACGCGUAGGUAACCUGCCUUUGUAGCGGGGGAUAACUAUUGGAAACGAUAGCUAAUACCGCAUAACAAUGGAUGACACAUGUCAUUUAUUUGAAAGGGGCAAUUGCUCCACUACAAGAUGGACCUGCGUUGUAUUAGCUAGUAGGUGAGGUAACGGCUCACCUAGGCGACGAUACAUAGCCGACCUGAGAGGGUGAUCGGCCACACUGGGACUGAGACACGGCCCAGACUCCUACGGGAGGCAGCAGUAGGGAAUCUUCGGCAAUGGGGGCAACCCUGACCGAGCAACGCCGCGUGAGUGAAGAAGGUUUUCGGAUCGUAAAGCUCUGUUGUAAGUCAAGAACGAGUGUGAGAGUGGAAAGUUCACACUGUGACGGUAGCUUACCAGAAAGGGACGGCUAACUACGUGCCAGCAGCCGCGGUAAUACGUAGGUCCCGAGCGUUGUCCGGAUUUAUUGGGCGUAAAGCGAGCGCAGGCGGUUUGAUAAGUCUGAAGUUAAAGGCUGUGGCUCAACCAUAGUUCGCUUUGGAAACUGUCAAACUUGAGUGCAGAAGGGGAGAGUGGAAUUCCAUGUGUAGCGGUGAAAUGCGUAGAUAUAUGGAGGAACACCGGUGGCGAAAGCGGCUCUCUGGUCUGUAACUGACGCUGAGGCUCGAAAGCGUGGGGAGCGAACAGGAUUAGAUACCCUGGUAGUCCACGCCGUAAACGAUGAGUGCUAGGUGUUGGAUCCUUUCCGGGAUUCAGUGCCGCAGCUAACGCAUUAAGCACUCCGCCUGGGGAGUACGACCGCAAGGUUGAAACUCAAAGGAAUUGACGGGGGCCCGCACAAGCGGUGGAGCAUGUGGUUUAAUUCGAAGCAACGCGAAGAACCUUACCAGGUCUUGACAUCCCGAUGCUAUUUCUAGAGAUAGAAAGUUACUUCGGUACAUCGGUGACAGGUGGUGCAUGGUUGUCGUCAGCUCGUGUCGUGAGAUGUUGGGUUAAGUCCCGCAACGAGCGCAACCCCUAUUGUUAGUUGCCAUCAUUCAGUUGGGCACUCUAGCGAGACUGCCGGUAAUAAACCGGAGGAAGGUGGGGAUGACGUCAAAUCAUCAUGCCCCUUAUGACCUGGGCUACACACGUGCUACAAUGGUUGGUACAACGAGUUGCGAGUCGGUGACGGCAAGCUAAUCUCUUAAAGCCAAUCUCAGUUCGGAUUGUAGGCUGCAACUCGCCUACAUGAAGUCGGAAUCGCUAGUAAUCGCGGAUCAGCACGCCGCGGUGAAUACGUUCCCGGGCCU